rnacentral:lncRNA from 1 species
AGGGCCUCCCGCUUCUUGUUCCUGUACCUUCCCCUCCCAAACUCCUGCUAGCGCUUUACCUAACCCUUCCCUCCCUGGGGAGUGUUUUGCCUUUUGUAAAGCUGAAUCGUGUGCUAAUUGCGGUAACCUGAUUUCUUCCUCCGUCUUCAGCAGUGAGAAGAUGAACUGAUGUUUCAAUAGGCUGCGAGCAAACUGGAGGCAGCAGACAGAUUUGGUUCUUCUCUCCUGCUGUCGCUGCCCCUAAAAGAGGAGACGGAGCAGGCCGUGAACCAACCUUUGCUCCACAGUGGUUGCGAGAAGAGGCUGCUGGUGCUGCCAUCUGCGCCUCGGAGCCGUGCUUCACACCUGGCUGCCCCUCCGGCCUGCUAGUCUGAGCUCAUUAACUUCCUGCAGGGGCACGGAGAGAGCAGCUGCAUAAAGGCCCGUCCCAGCGGAGACAGCGCCGCGAUUUGACAGUUGCUGUAUGCCCAUGGGGAUCGUGUUCAGGGUCACUGUCAGUGCCUUAAGGGAAGCCUACGCUCUGAGCAGGUGUCUCAGUGUUGUUGCAGCAGUCAGUCCUGUGCUGCUCCUGCCUCCCCGAAGUCUGGAAGCGGUAUCUUCUAGAUGUGGCGGCUGUGCCAGCUCCAUCAGUGGCAAAUCAAUUCCCGUAGUCCGUUUGAUCCUGUGGUCAACCAAAAACACAACUGAACCAAAUAAACCACCCUGAAAAGUAUUUUCUCCGUGUAUUGCUUGAGUUCUAGAAAAGGUGCAGC